rnacentral:rRNA from 1 species
UACGGAAGGCAGCAGUGGGGAAUAUUGCACAAUGGGCGAAAGCCUGAUGCAGCUAUGCCGCGUGUAUGAAGAAGGCCUUAGGGUUGUAAAGUACUUUCAUCGGGGAGGAAAAAACAAAACUAAUAAUUUUAUUUCUUGACGUUACCCGAAAAAGAAGCACCGGCUAACUCCGUGCCAGCAGCCGCGGUAAUACGGAGGGUGCUAGCGUUAAUCAGAAUUACUGGGCGUAAAGAGCACGUAGGUGGUUUUUUUAAGUCAGAUGUGAAAUCCCUGGGCUUAACCUAGGAACUGCAUUUUGAAACUGAAAUACUAGAGUAUCGUAGAGGGAGGUAGAAUUCUAGGUGUAGCGGUGAAAUGCGUAGAUAUCUGGAGGAAUACCUGUGGCGAAAGCGGCCUCCUAAACGAAUACUGACACUGAGGUGCGAAAGCGUUGGGGAGCGAAACAGGGGAUUAGAUACCCGU